rnacentral:rRNA from 1 species
AGUGAACGCUGGCGGUAGGCCUAACACAUGCAAGUCGAACGGCAGCACAGUAAGAGCUUGCUCUUACGGGUGGCGAGUGGCGGACGGGUGAGGAAUACAUCGGAAUCUACUUUUUCGUGGGGGAUAACGUAGGGAAACUUACGCUAAUACCGCAUACGACCUACGGGUGAAAGCAGGGGAUCUUCUGACCUUGCGCGAUUGAAUGAGCCGAUGUCGGAUUAGCUAGUUGGCGGGGUAAAGGCCCACAAAGGCGACGAUCCGUAGCUGGUCUGAGAGGAUGAUCAGCCACGCUGGAACGGAGCCACGGUCCAGACUCCUAAGGGAGGCAGCAGUGGGGAAUAUUGGACAAUGGGCGCAAGCCUGAUCCAGCCAUACCGAGUGGGUGAAGAAGGCCUUCGGGUUGUAAAGCCCUUUUGUUGGGAAAGAAAAGCAGCAGGUUAAUACCCCGCUGUUCUGACGGUACCCAAAGAAUAAGCACCGGCUAACUUCGUG